UGAUCUGACGAGCUUGCUCUGAUUUGAUUUUAUCUGACAAAGAGUGGCGAACGGGUGAGUAACACGUGGGUAACCUACCUCUUAGCAGGGGAUAACAUUUGGAAACAAGUGCUAAUACCGUAUAAUACCAACAACCGCAUGGUUGUUGGUUGAAAGAUGGUUCUGCUAUCACUAAGAGAUGGACCCGCGGUGCAUUAGCUAGUUGGUAAGGUAACGGCUUACCAAGGCAAUGAUGCAUAGCCGAGUUGAGAGACUGAUCGGCCACAAUGGGACUGAGACACGGCCCAUACUCCUACGGGAGGCAGCAGUAGGGAAUCUUCCACAAUGGGCGCAAGCCUGAUGGAGCAACGCCGCGUGUGUGAUGAAGGGUUUCGGCUCGUAAAACACUGUUAUAAGAGAAGAACGGCACUGAGAGUAACUGUUCAGUGUGUGACGGUAUCUUACCAGAAAGGAACGGCUAAAUACGUGCCAGCAGCCGCGGUAAUACGUAUGUUCCAAGCGUUAUCCGGAUUUAUUGGGCGUAAAGCGAGCGCAGACGGUUAUUUAAGUCUGAAGUGAAAGCCCUCAGCUCAACUGAGGAAUGGCUUUGGAAACUGGAUGACUUGAGUGCAGUAGAGGAAAGUGGAACUCCAUGUGUAGCGGUGAAAUGCGUAGAUAUAUGGAAGAACACCAGUGGCGAAGGCGGCUUUCUGGACUGUAACUGACGUUGAGGCUCGAAAGUGUGGGUAGCAAACAGGAUUAGAUAC
rnacentral:rRNA from 1 species